GGAGGUAGUGACAAUAAAUCACAAUGCGGGACUAUUUAGUUUUGCAAUUGAAUUGAGAACAAUGUACAAGAGUUAUCGAUAAACAAUUGGAGGGCAAGUCUGGUGCCAGCAGCCGCGGUAAUUCCAGCUCAAAUAGCGUAUAUUAACGUUGUUGCAGUUAAAAAGCUCGUAGUUGAAGUGUGGGAUAAUGUAUAUUGGAUCUUUUAGUGAAGAUAUAUGUUGUCCCCCCUCCAAUUUCGGUCUGUGGGUAUUAAUUUACUUGCAGUUCGUGUUGGUCAUUUACUGUGAGAAAAUUAGAGUGUUCAAAGCAGGCAUUUGCUUGAAUAUAUUAGCAUGGAAUAAUAUUAAAAGGCUUGUAUGGUCGAUUUAAUUGGUUUGUUCAUAUAAGCAAGAUUAAUAGGGACAGUUGGGGGUAUUCAUAUUCAAUAGUUAGAGGUGAAAUUCUCGGAUUUAUGGAAGAUGAACAAGUGCGAAAGCA
rnacentral:rRNA from 1 species